GUCGACCGGAAGAAGUCCUCGACCUCAGCAUACAUGAAGUCAUAGCAAGAAGCAGUGAAAGUCAUAGCAGAGAUUGGAUGGAGCAUAAUUUUUUCUAUGUCUCGGCGCCUCUAUGGAUGUCAUAUUUAGAUCAGAUGCAAUCUGAGCCUUGUUCUGAAUUUCAAAAUCCCCUUGGACAACACCUGCACAGCUGAGCAAUCAAGGACCUUCUGACUAAGGGCUGAAUUAUAGUGAACACUGCCAUUCAGAGACUUUGAAACAGAGAGAUGAAUCAACCACAUGCUCUACGUCAGAGGAAUCUAGCUGGAGCACCUAUUUAGCAGCCAGGACACAUAGAUGUACCUGUACUGUUGAUACAGAAAAUCUCAAUGGCACAUUUCUAAAUGAUGGCUAAAAAACUCUAAUAAAGACACUUUCAGUUUAAAACUUUUUGAAAGAAAUCCAGACCAGAAACAAAGGAUAUUGAUUUUUAAGCUCCUCCAAAUGUAAAAGGGGUUUUAUUGAAACCAAGACCAGGAUACACCCAAG